UCUCCCCGCCCCCCCCCCCCCCCCCCCCCCGCACAUUCCUUGCCCCGCCCACUCUGUUUCAGCCCGUCCUGUGUGUCGGGGGCGGCUCUCUAUAAAGCCUAGAUCCCCCACCAAACACACACGCAAGAGGAGUAGCUAGAGAGGUUGGCAGGGCUAGUGCUCAAGUCACCAAGGAUCUAAGUGACCACCAGAAGUGCCAUGUUUCCAGAACUGGGGACACCACGAAGGGCAGCUCUGGCAUUGAAACCUAUGAACAGCAGCCCACCAGUGAGUCCAGGUUUCAGUCAACCAACCAAGUGAGGUACUAGAUUUCGGACCAGCUAUGCGCACUAACACAUUCAGUCUGGAACCUCAGGUUUCAGGGUUCCACUCCUCUGACCGCUGCCCGGCCUUUCACAUGAGGAACGUGGAGAGGCUGGGAAUUCAACUGACACUGGGAUCCUGUGACCCUCACAAUUGAAUGUUGCGUUGGAUUUUCAGCACUGUCAGCCCUGCAGUACAGGAAGCAAGAGAGGUUUUAGGGCUGUCAUGGAAGUUCUCUGGUUGUCAUACUGUGACUUGAGCUGAGAGGAAGAUUAGCCCUGAGCUAACUACUGCCGAUCCUCCUCUUUUUGCUGAGGAAGACUGGCCCUGAGCUAACAUCCAUGCCCAUCUUCCUCUGCUGAAUACGUGGGACGCCUACCACAGCAUGGCUUUUUGCCAGGGGGUGCCAUGUCCGCACCCGGGAUCCGAACCGGCGAACCCUGGGCUGCUGAGAAGUGGAACGUGCGAACUUAAC
rnacentral:lncRNA from 1 species